AGCGGCGGACGGGUGAGUAACGCGUGGGUAAUCUGCCUCACACAGGGGGAUAACACUGGGAAACUAGUGCUAAUACCGCAUAACAUAACGAGGUGGCAUCACUUUGUUAUCAAAGGAGCAAUCCGGUGUGAGAUGAGCCCGCGUCCGAUUAGCUAGUUGGUGAGGUAACGGCUCACCAAGGCGACGAUCGGUAGCCGAACUGAGAGGUUGAUCGGCCACAUUGGGACUGAGACACGGCCCAGACUCCUACGGGAGGCAGCAGUGGGGAAUAUUGCGCAAUGGGGGAAACCCUGACGCAGCAACGCCGCGUGAAGGAAGAAGGUCUUCGGAUUGUAAACUUCUUUGGUUGGGGACGAUAAUGACGGUACCCAAGGAACAAGCCACGGCUAACUACGUGCCAGCAGCCGCGGUAAUACGUAGGUGGCGAGCGUUGUCCGGAAUUACUGGGUGUAAAGGGCGCGUAGGCGGGGAUGCAAGUCAGAUGUGAAAUUCCGGGGCUCAACCCCGGCGCUGCAUCUGAAACUGUAUUUCUUGAGUGCUGGAGAGGAAAGCGGAAUU
rnacentral:rRNA from 1 species